rnacentral:lncRNA from 1 species
UCUUUUUUCCAACUGGAGUGCCCUAUUCGAUCCUCUCUGAGUCUGACCACAGCAUGCACCCUCAGGUGCACUAAAGUCAAGCAGUUCUCAUGCUUUUGUCCCCAACUCCUCUGUACCUGUGAAUUUAGCCACACAAAAGGAGGGGGACAGUCUGAAUUCUCUCGGUCCAGAUCUGAAAGGACUGGUUCCUUUCCAGCAUCGUCUUCUUUCUGAUGGAGGACCAGGAUAUUGUUUUUUUGCUUCCAGGGCACACAUAUGAAGCCAAGGAGGCAUUCUGUCGUGAAACUGAACAACAGUUACUCCAUUUUGUACUCCAUUUUGUAAUAGGGCCCCAACUUGUCUGCUUCUGUUACAGAUCACCAGGUAGACAUCGAGUUCCAGGGAUGUGCUUGUUGUGCCAGGAAGGUCUGUUGUGUGCGUAGUGUUCCGUCAUGCUUGCCCACUCCAUAUCUGAAUAUGUUAUCUUAAGAACAAUCUGUAAAAAUUCCUUCUGCAUUUCACUUCUGUAUUUCUGCUUGCCAACUUCCCUCUAGCAUCUCCUAUAAAAGGACCUCAGGCUCUGAGCCGGGCGCCUCUCUAAGCUUGGUGCUUGGAGAGUGCCAUCUGGCCAGACUAAUAAAGGUCUGUUUUACAACUUGUCUAGUGUGUUCCCUCCUGGGUGAUCUUCACUGUAGUCAGCUCCUCGGAGCAUUUGUUAAGGCCCACAGUCUUACACUGUGGCACAAUUUGAGCCAUAAAUCAAUAUAGGGAAACUGAUCUAGAUGUUCCCAUCCAGGGGCGGUGACUGUUAGCCAGAUGGACCAAAGGAGACCCUCACCUAG